rnacentral:rRNA from 1 species
AGAGUUUGAUCCUGGCUCAGGACGAACGCUGGCGGCACGCUUAACACAUGCAAGUCGAACGAGAGAAGAGGAGCUUGCUUUUCUGAUCUAGUGGCGGACGGGUGAGUAACACGUGAGCAAUCUGCCUUUCAGAGGGGGAUACCGAUUGGAAACGAUCGUUAAUACCGCAUAACAUAAUUGAACCGCAUGAUUUGAUUAUCAAAGAUUUAUCGCUGAAAGAUGAGCUCGCGUCUGAUUAGCUAGUUGGUAAGGUAACGGCUUACCAAGGCGACGAUCAGUAGCCGGACUGAGAGGUUGAUCGGCCACAUUGGGACUGAGACACGGCCCAGACUCCUACGGGAGGCAGCAGUGGGGAAUAUUGCACAAUGGAGGAAACUCUGAUGCAGCGAUGCCGCGUGAGGGAAGAAGGUUUUAGGAUUGUAAACCUCUGUCUUCAGGGACGAAAAAAAGACGGUACCUGAGGAGGAAGCUCCGGCUAACUACGUGCCAGCAGCCGCGGUAAUACGUAGGGAGCGAGCGUUGUCCGGAAUUACUGGGUGUAAAGGGAGCGUAGGCGGGAUCGCAAGUCAGAUGUGAAAACUAUGGGCUUAACCCAUAAACUGCAUUUGAAACUGUGGUUCUUGAGUGAAGUAGAGGUAAGCGGAAUUCCUAGUGUAGCGGUGAAAUGCGUAGAUAUUAGGAGGAACAUCAGUGGCGAAGGCGGCUUACUGGGCUUUAACUGACGCUGAGGCUCGAAAGCGUGGGGAGCAAACAGGAUUAGAUACCCUGGUAGUCCACGCCGUAAACGAUGAUUACUAGGUGUGGGGGGACUGACCCCUUCCGUGCCGCAGCAAACGCAAUAAGUAAUCCACCUGGGGAGUACGACCGCAAGGUUGAAACUCAAAGGAAUUGACGGGGGCCCGCACAAGCAGUGGAGUAUGUGGAUUAAUUCGAAGCAACGCGAAGAACCUUACCAGGUCUUGA